AACAUAUAAAAUAUAUUGGCAUUUAAAGUAUAAUCAUGUAUAGCCGAACCAUCAAUGGUAUACCUUAACCUUAGAGAUUUUUUUUUUAUUUUGGUUUUAUAAUAUGUAUAACUAUGGCAUAUCUUACCACAAACUGGUUGGAAAGAGAACCUAAAGAUACCAAAGGGUAUUCAAACCUAUACAUAAGUAAUUGACUACGCAUUAGCAAUAAGAAGAGAAAAGAAAAUGGUAAAUAAUACAAACAACAGUUUAUAAAACAUCAAAGUUAAAAGACUGAACUACAUGAGCUCCUUCCGGUAGUCUAUGGUGCUUUGAACAGUUGAUCAGAUUCUGUUCCACAUGUGCCAAUGAGUCGUCGAAAACAAAAAAAAAACAAAACAAACAAACUCCCAAUAAGAGUGAUUUCAGAACCAACCAUUAAAUUCCGUUACAUCUAUUGGUAUAUAUACGAAUGUCGUGUCGUACGUUCUUUAGACGACGUUCUCUAUCGUGAACAUUCUGGUACAUUUCCUGUGUCACAAUGCUUAUGUUAUUUCAUCACAGUAAGUACUUAUUGUUCAAUGACAUUUUCUAUGCAGAAUGAUAUCAGUUCCACCUUUGUAAAAAUCUAUAACUGUUGAAUAGAGAAAUAUAUAGCAUGCAUAUUGCUUUAUGUACUUUACUCGGUAUUUUACUACUUUUAGAAAGCCGAAGGUUCAUCUCUUGAUUGGCGAACUAUAAUACAGAAUGACUAUGCUAAGUAUUUCACCUGAGAUUACUUUGACAGACUAACGAGUAGUUAUCUAUAGAUUGUUAAUCAUCAGAUCUUCUAUGUUUGUUUUUAGUUUUUGAUUUUUAAAUAAAGAGGACUGGGGAUCACAAAUGAGACAUUAUUUGGAGAAGCAAGCCCCAUGUGCUGUACAAUUAGUUACAAAAAUGUUAUUACUUUAUGAAAUUAUUGUUAAUUGUUUUGCAAAUCCACAUUUGAAAGACAUGUUUCAUACGACAUUUUGUACUUUCAAGCUUUUCUUCAAAUUAAUAUAUUUUGUUAUCAUAUAAAAUUAAUAUUUUUGAACUUCUUUAAUCACUUGAUACACUUUUCAAUAUAGAACAAAACAAAUAUCUUCAACACUGAAAUAGUGUCCUUAUCAUAUGGCAAUUUGAUUUAUGGUUUUCUUCCUGGCCUUUAUCCUACUGAUUGUCCUUAGUAUAUAUUACAACAAAUAUUUGAUCAAAUAAAUAUGAUAUGAGUCCUAUAUGGAUGCUUUAUAAGUACAUGUACCUCAUUGACUGGAUGUAUUUGUGUUUAUUAUACGUUUUUGUGUUUUUCUUUUAGAUUGGAAAAAAAAUGAAAUAGGAAAUCUGCUAUUUAUUUUUAUUUUUAUUCUUAUGGGUAAAUUCCCCAAACAGAUACAUUAUUUCUUUAGUGUGCAUUUAAGUCAGUUGAUAAGACAUGUUGUGCAUACAUGGUAUACAACAUAAUAUUUUUUUUUUUAAUAUUUUAUUUGUCACUGUACAUAACAAGACUAUCACAGUCAAAUACAACAUGAUGUACAUAAUUUAUACCUUUAAGCAAUUAAAUAUAGUAUUCCCAUUAACAGGAUUUUGCUUAAGAGACAAGAGUAUAUUGAAUAGAUAUAUGUUACUAAUGUUUAUUAUUUAGUUCAUUUAAAUAUUACAUUGAAAUGAAAUAAAUAUAUUGUACAACUAAAAUGUAG
rnacentral:lncRNA from 1 species